rnacentral:rRNA from 1 species
GAUGAACGCUGGCGGCGUGCCUAAUACAUGCAAGUCGAGCGAACGGACGAGAAGCUUGCUUCUCUGAUGUUAGCGGCGGACGGGUGAGUAACACGUGGAUAACCUACCUAUAAGACUGGGAUAACUUCGGGAAACCGGCGCUAAUACCGGAUAAUAUUUUGAACCGCAUGGUUCAAAAGUGAAAGACGGUCUUGCUGUCACUUAUAGAUGGAUCCGCGCUGCAUUAGCUAGUCGGUAAGGUAACGGCUUACCAAGGCAACGAUGCAUAGCCGACCUGAGAGGGUGAUCGGCCACACUGGAACUGAGACACGGUCCAGACUCCUACGGGAGGCAGCAGUAGGGAAUCGUCCGCAAUGGGCGAAAGCCUGACGGAGCAACGCCGCGUGAGUGAUGAAGGUCUUCGGAUCGUAAAACUCUGUUAUGAGGGAAGAACAUAUGUGUAAGUAGCUGUGCACAUCUUGACGGUACCUAAUCAGAAAGCCACGGCUAACUACGUG